rnacentral:ncRNA from 1 species
CUAAACGCAAUGAUUGGAAGUAAUAAGGAAUAACUAUUGCCCAGAGAACUGUCGGUUGGUGUAAGACAGUCAAUAGGAUUCCCCAACUCACCCAUGAGCGGUAAGAUCGAAAAUGAGUAGAUCUUAACGGCUAACCCUCCGUAAUCGGGUUCUAAGAUUCGUUGUCUUUUUAUUAAAACAACGAUCAAGAAGAGUGGUACCGCGAAGGUUAAACCUAUCGCCUCUUUG